rnacentral:lncRNA from 1 species
CCUGGCUGGAGUUGGUUUCAUGAAGUGAAUGGUACCACGGGGACACAGGAGUCCUCUUCGGGGACCUGUCUGACAGCUCAGUCCAUACUGUUCCCAGGGCUGUUCUGGAUGCCCUGGUCCUGGCAGGGUUGGUCAGUUUGAAGACAUACAGAAUGGUUGAUUGGUCUGAAAUUGGCCUGUGAUGCAUCCUCAUCCAGUUUUCAACUUGUUGAGGCAGUCCAUCAGCAGGGGCCCUGCUGGUGGGAGACAGAAGCUCCCACACUGUCUCCCCUAUCUCUGAAGUUCACAACCUUUACUACCUAGCCAGGACCCAUCAUCUCCUUAUCUGUCUGCACCAGAUCCUGCAGGGAAGGAAGCAAAGAGAGGCAAGCGUCCAAACAAUCCAAGAGCCAACAUCCCUGGGCUGCCCUCCUGCUCUGAGCUCGUGGCACUCGACUUCCUCAACUGAAAGGAGGAACCGUCGCAGGCAGGCUUACAGUGUGCGUCCUCCCCAGCAUCCUGCUCCAGGGUCCAAAGCCAGACUACACCUGUGUCCCGCGGACACCCCGCAGGGACCCUGCAGCUGCUAGGCUACGUGGACUGCCCUGCAGUGCUAUGGCUCAGGCCCGCAGCGAGCCUCGCGGGCUUCUGGCCUGAGGUCCACCCCCAGCCACAGGCCACUGCCCGGGAG